rnacentral:lncRNA from 1 species
AUCUCCGUGUAUGAAGCCUGAGUUCUUUCCGCUGCCCCCUCUGGUGAAAUAACGUACAGCGCGUGAUUGGCUCGCUGGUGGCUCCCUUCUCUGUCAAAAAGUCCCCCACUGCCCAUGGCCUCCCGGGACAGCGGCGGCAGCAGCCGGGCCCGCGACACUCGACAUCGCGUGAGGCACCGGCCGCACACUUGGCUGCGUCUGGUCAUACCCGCAGAGAGCCUCAUUUCCAGGGGCGACGCGCUUUCAUAUCCAGCAGCCUCUCAGAGUGCAUUGGAUUGCCACGAAGCGCACAUUUUGGCGAAGGAAUACGACUGGGGAGCAAAGCGGAAAAAUACAGACGCCACGGGCCACAGGUUGUGUAACAAUUUGAAACUGAGGCACAAGGAAAGAGGUGAAGGGGAAAGUCAUAGGAUGACGCGACCGGCCGUCUGUCGACAGCGGCCCCCGACAAAGAACAGGGGGAAAGUUGCUGCGAGGACAAGGUGGUGAAAGCGCCAGAUCCAUACUGAGCAUUUUGCUCCACUGCACAACUUAGCGCAGGGGGGAAGAAGAAGAAAGAUAAAAAAGGAAGCACAGAUCGAUUGUUCUCUAAGGCCGCUCCGAUGGUCUCGCUGUUUGUCAAGGGCAACGAGACGCUUGGUGUCGCGUGCGCCCCCUAAUUCCCCCCCCUGCAGAUUGUCAGGACGCAUGGCGCUCAGCGAGAGCGUGACUUCCAGAGACGUUAUAUCACGAGGGGGGGAGAAGUUGAAUGGAAACCUUUGACGCACUCGCCAAUAAAUUACCUGCCUGUUAUGUUUUUUUAUGACGCUAUUCAUUUUUAUAUCCACACUGCAGCCCUUGGGUGGCGAAAUGAAUAUAUGUAUGUAAAAAAAAUAAAUAUUUGUAUCGUUUUUAAUUACUCCGGGGUGAUGUCAGUCCUUACCUGUGGAUGCGAAAAUGAGGCCGAGAACAACUCCAGGCCAUGGAGACGCACAUUACAAGACUGUGUCAACAGCGCACGUCGACCACAUUAAUCUUUAAAAAAAAAAAACAGCACCCGCCAUCCCCAACUAGCCCCAAGGCCACAUGGCUUCUCGACAAUGAGAGGCCUAUUACAGCGCGGCGGGGGGAUGGUAAGGGGCUAUGGGCCAAAAAAACACCACACAGCCACGGAGAAGAAGAAACUUCGGCCCAAAACACUGAACAUACUCAACGCUGCACGGGAGCAGUGGGAAGCAAGAGCAGUGAAUGUGCAGUGUGUGUGUGUGUGUGUGUGUGUGUGUGUGUGUGUGUGUGUGUGUGUGUGUGUGUGUGUGUGUGUGUGUGUGUGUGUGUGUGUGUGUGUGUGUGUGUGUGUGUGUGUGUGUGUGUGUGA